rnacentral:rRNA from 1 species
AGAACGAACGCUGGCGGCAGGCUUAACACAUGCAAGUCGAGCGCCUCGCAAGGGGAGCGGCAGACGGGUGAGUAACGCGUGGGAACCUUCCCUAUAGUACGGAAUAUACCAGGGAAACUUGGAGCAAUACCGUAUACGCCCGAAAGGGGAAAGAUUUAUCGCUGUAGGAUGGGCCCGCGUAGGAUUAGCUAGUUGGUGAGGUAAUGGCUCACCAAGGCGACGAUCCUUAGCUGGUCUGAGAGGAUGAUCAGCCACACUGGGACUGAGACACGGCCCAGACUCCUACGGGAGGCAGCAGUGGGGAAUAUUGGGCAAUGGGCGCAAGCCUGACCCAGCCAUGCCGCGUGAGUGACGACGGCCUUAGGGUUGUAAAGCUCUUUUGGCGGGACGAUAAUGACGGUACCCGCAGAAUAAGCCCCGGCUAACUUCGUGCCAGCAGCCGC